rnacentral:lncRNA from 1 species
CAAGUGGUGAAGUCCAAGGGGUCUCAAAGAGUCGGACACGACUGAGUGACUGAACAGGCGACGUGGUGCAUUACCAGAUAAUAUUCUUGAACCGUUGCUCUAUUCGACUGCAUGCUACAUUUGUCUUUUGAGAGGGUGAAAAAAAAAAAAAAAACUCUUAAGUACAAAUGCCAAGGUACCAAAUGUUCAAAACUUGGAAAAUGAGAAAAAAAAAAUAGCAUUUAUAAUCAUUGAACCCAGGGACAACCACUGUUCGCAUUUUGAUGUGCUUCUCUCCAGCAUUUUCUUCCUUAAAAUUUGUCUAUUCCGUUCUGUAGACUUUUAAUUUUUCCACUUGGCAUUAUAUCGUGUUUUCCAUGUAAGUAAAACUGUACCAUGCAUACAACUAACAGCAGGAAAAAGAAAUGCUUUUAUUUCUCUUGUUUGUGUUGUUUAACACUCAAGCGUUGCAAAUUUCUAUGCAUAUCCCCAGAAAUGAGUCUUGAAUGAAAAAAAAAUUUGUCAUUAAAAAAAAUUUUAAGUGAUAUAGGAAGCCGAAAAUGUUGGUGCUCUUAGACGGAAGCGGGCUUCCCCUACUGGCUCCAGAUGAUUGGCCACUAUAGGUGGUGUCUGUGUUUGCUCUGAAAAGUUCCAUCUCCCCUAAGCAUUAUAAAACUGGCUAGAAUACCAGUCUCCCUCCCACCUUCAAG